AUUAGAUACCCGCGUAGUCCCAGCUGUAAACGAUGCGCGUUAGGUGUAUCAGUGACCACGAGUCACUGAGGUGCCGAAGAGAAAUCGUGAAACGUGCCGCCUGGGAAGUACGGUCGCAAGGCUGAAACUUAAAGGAAUUGGCGGGGGAGCACCACAACAGGUGGAGCCUGCGGUUUAAUCGGACUCAACGCCGGGAAACUCACCAGUUAAGACAGCUGAAUGAUAGUCGGGCUGAAGACUCUACUUGACUAGCUGAGAGGUGGUGCAUGGC
rnacentral:rRNA from 1 species